UGUUGCGAUCAUACCAGCACUAAUGCACCGGAUCCCAUCAGAACUCCGCAGUUAAGCGUGCUUGGGCGAGAGUAGUACUAGGAUGGGUGACCCCCUGGGAAGUCCUCGUGUUGCAACCCC
rnacentral:rRNA from 1 species